AGUAUAGGGUCAUUAGUCCUGAUCGAGCUGGAGAUCUAUUAGUAUUUCUCAUAGUGUGCGUGUGUGUGUGCAUGAAGCGUAACUUCGUGUAACGAAUCAACGCUAGCGAUGCUGAUUGCGUCUUAUCGCUUAAGUAACAACAAGAAGUACCGGCGUCUCGUGCCUCCCAACAGGUGUAUACAUGUGCCCACAUAACCUGACAUAGACGAGCCAUUAAUACAGGAUCCAUGUGUUUGUGGUAAGAAAGCUUGAUCGAAUCUGAUACAUCCUGUUUUGUCCAAAUAAUUGAGAGCCUCAGGGAAUACUUCACCAAGUAUGGAGACAUCACGGAAGUUAUGGUGAUGAAAGAUCCAACCACACGCCG